rnacentral:misc_RNA from 1 species
AACUUUUAGCAAUGGAUCACUUGGCUCUCGCAUCGAUGAGGAACGCAGCGAAAUGCGAUAAGUAAUGUGAAUUGCAGAAUUCAGUGAAUCAUCGAAUCUUUGAACGCACCUUGCACCCUUUGGCAUUCCGAAGGGUAUGCUCGUUUGAGUGUCAUUGUACUCUCACACUCCCGAUGCUUUUGGAUUGGGAGUGGUGGACUUGGGUGUUGCUGCUUUACUGUGGCUCACCUCAAAUGGAGUAGUGCAACUCUUGGUUGGACAUAGUACGGCGUGAUAAGUGUCUUCGCCGGCGCCUCAUUAGAGGGUGGCCGAUCGGGAGCUCUGUGCUUCAAACCGUCUUCGGACAACAUCUGACAACUUGACCUCAAAUCGAGUAGGACUACCCGCUGAACUUAAGCAUAUCAAUAAGCGGAGGCU